CAUAAAUUGUUCUUAAUUACCCUGACCAGCCUCACGUGGGACAGACCCACACCCUCUCCUCAUUGGUCAGGAGCUCUAUUUAAGCGCAGUUCAGGACACCUGCUUCUUUUUCAUGGCAAAACUAUAAGUGAUCUGUUUUUAGUCACGUUCUAUGCCUCAGCUGUGUUCCUCCUCUCUAAGUUUUGCAGGAACGAGCGCUGCUGCAAGGGCUCUCCAGAAAGAGGGCCUUCAUGGAGUUGUCCUGCUGACGCAGCUUCUUGCCUCAGGGCAGCUGUUUGGUAUGCAGCGACUACAUAAUGCGCUCAAGUCUUUUUACUGUGUGCAGUCUUCUCUUAGCUCAACUGAAAGGCAUUAGGUGAUGAUCGCUUAACUAAUCGUUGACUAACGAACAAAACAAGACAAAACCUGUUGGGCUCGCUACAAGUUAAGUGUUAUGGAUGGCCUUCUAUUUGCGGAAAAAAAGGAGAAAUGGAGAAAAAUAAGACAAUGAAGGAAAAUGAAGAUCUGGAUGGCAGAGGAGAAGAUAGAAACGCAGAGUGAUUGUCAGAUGUUACUGAAGAACAUAUCUGAAUAUCUCUUCCUGCUCAGAGUUGAUGCCACUCAUGCUCUCAAUGCUGUUCUGCCACCUGAAUGAUUCCAUUCAGACCUGUCUCAAGUGGAAGAAACUUUGUCUUACGUGGAUGGAAUUUGUGAUUGGGUGCCUUGAGGGCUGCAAUAUACUUGAAAAUUGAAAAUAAUGUCAGUGUACUUGGAUAUCAAAUGCAGUUAUAGCCUAGAGGAUGCCUCAGUAAUAUUCUAGAAUUAUAGAGUGCACAAGACUUCAUGGUAAUGACUGUCUGCAAUGUACUCAACUGACAAGCCAUGAGACCUCUGGUAAGGCUGGCUGUUCCUCUGGUCCUGCUUUCUAUGUAAGUUCAUGCAUGGAUUAAGAAGUCCAAUAGAGUUCUUUCUCAUUCAUUUGCCAUUAUCAGUUUGUGUUUUUACUCUUCUUUCUAAAAGGAAAAGUAAAUGCUUCUCUCUCUAGACCUAGUGUUACUUUUCUUGACUGUAAAGCAAGCAAAAACAAAAAAAAAGGUGAAAGAGGCUUAUCUCUAGAGUUUUAAAAUAGAAGUUGGUACCCUACACAACUGGUAAACAUUCAUUUAUAUGGAGUGCACUCAGACUGACUGGAUCUGUGACCUGUUUGCUUUUCUAUAAAAGCAUUCCUGUAUGCUAGCUCAUCAUGGCACAGGUAUUUAAGGAAAGACAACUGCCUUCGUAAAAUCC